rnacentral:tRNA from 1 species
AACCUUUGGAUCUUAUCCCAACCCAAGUGUUUUGGAUAGCUACGAUAC